rnacentral:rRNA from 1 species
UACGGGGGGGGCAAGCGUUGUUCGGAAUUACUGGGCGUAAAGGGCUCGUAGGCGGCCAACUAAGUCAGACGUGAAAUCCCUCGGCUUAACCGGGGAACUGCAUCUGAUACUGGAUGGCUUGAGUUCGGGAGAGGGAUGCGGAAUUCCAGGUGUAGCGGUGAAAUGCGUAGAUAUCUGGAGGAACACCGGUGGCGAAGGCGGCUCUCUGGGACGGUACUGACGCUGAGACGCGAAAGCGUGGGGAGCGAACAGG